rnacentral:rRNA from 1 species
GAUGAACGCUAGCGGCAGGCCUAACACAUGCAAGUCGAGGGAGAAGCCCUUCGGGGCAGAAACCGGCGCACGGGUGCGUAACGCGUAUGCAACCUACCUUUCACAGGGGGAUAGCCCGAAGAAAUUUGGAUUAAUACCCCAUAAUAUUAUUGGAUGGCAUCAUUUGAUAAUUAAAACUGAGGUGGUGAAAGAUGGGCAUGCGUCCUAUUAGCUAGUUGGAGUGGUAACGGCACCCCAAGGCUACGAUAGGUAGGGGUCCUGAGAGGGAGAUCCCCCACACUGGUACUGAGACAGGGACCAGACUCCUACGGGAGGCAGCAGUGAGGAAUAUUGGUCAAUGGUCGGAAGACUGAACCAGCCAUGCCGCGUGCAGGAAGAAUGCCUUAUGGGUUGUAAACUGCUUUUAUAUGGGAAGAAUAAGGAGUACGUGUACUUUGA